UGAACGCUGGCGGUAUGCUUAACACAUGCAAGUCGAACGGUAACAUUGGAGCUUGCUCCAGAUGACGAGUGGCGGACGGGUGAGUAACGCGUAAGAAUCUGCCUAUUAGUGGGGGACAACUCGGGGAAACUCGAGCUAAUACCGCAUACGCCCUACGGGGGAAAGCAGGGGAUCUUCGGACCUUGCGCUAUUAGAUGAGCUUGCGUUGGAUUAGCUUGUUGGUGAGGUAAUGGCUCACCAAGGCUGCGAUCCAUAGCUGGUCUGAGAGGACGAUCAGCCACACUGGGACUGAGACACGGCCCAGACUCCUACGGGAGGCAGCAGUGGGGAAUAUUGGACAAUGGGCGAAAGCCUGAUCCAGCAAUACCGCGUGUGUGAAGAAGGCCUGCGGGUUGUAAAGCACUUUCAGUAGGGAAGAAAAGCCUGGGGUUAAUAGCUCCGAGUCUUGACGUUACCUACAGAAGAAGCACCGGCUAACUCA
rnacentral:rRNA from 1 species